CAUUGCUGUAGCAUGACAGGACAAGAAAUCUGGGUAGUCAAGGAUAAGUCUAUUUCCGAAUCGAGAGGGUUAUCAGUGGAUAGGAAUCGGAACGUAUUUCUUGUUGGUCAAACCUCAAACAACCUGACAGUAAUACAACAUGACGGGAAAGAUAGCAAGGUCUUACUUACUGAUCGUGAUGGACUUGAAUCUCCUUAUGCAGUGAAUUACAACAAACAAAAGAAGAUUAUAUGUUUUGGCUACAAGGCAAGAAGCGUCGCAUUGUACCAAGUGUCGUAAAACUACAUGUUGACAUCACAAUGAAGUCUUUACUGUUUGUUAUGGUUAGUCUUACAUUAAGUUUUUAAAUGAUGCUACAUUCUCAAUAUUCAAAAAGAGACGAAAACUUAACUUGUCAUUAGUUUGGUUAUUUAAUUCAAAAGAAAUUAUUUUGCUUAAAAUAUUUAGUUAUUACACGC
rnacentral:lncRNA from 1 species